GACGAACGCUGGCGGCGUGCUUAACACAUGCAAGUCGAACGGAAAGGCCCUGCUUUUGUGGGGUGCUCGAGUGGCGAACGGGUGAGUAACACGUGAGUAACCUGCCCUUGACUUUGGGAUAACUUCAGGAAACUGGGGCUAAUACCGGAUAGGAGCUCCUGCUGCAUGGUGGGGGUUGGAAAGUUUCGGCGGUUGGGGAUGGACUCGCGGCUUAUCAGCUUGUUGGUGGGGUAGUGGCUUACCAAGGCUUUGACGGGUAGCCGGCCUGAGAGGGUGACCGGCCACAUUGGGACUGAGAUACGGCCCAGACUCCUACGGGAGGCAGCAGUGGAGAAUAUUGCACAAUGGGCGGAAGCCUGAUGCGGCAACGCCGCGUGCGGGAUGACGGCCUUCGGGUUGUAAGCCGCUUUCGCCUGUGACGAAGCGUGAGUGACGGUACCUGGAGAAGAAGGACCGGCCAACUACGUG
rnacentral:rRNA from 1 species